GAUCAAGCGUCAAAAGGGCAUCCGGGGGAUGUCUUGGCGGUAAGAGGCGAUGAAAGACGUGGCACUCUGCGAUAAGCACCGGGGAGGCGAGAGCACCCUUUGAUCCGGUGAUUUCUGAAUGGGGAAACCCACCUCCGAGAUGUUGGAUAAUUCGAGCGCUUCGGCGCUCGACGUGUCUAACAUUUCAAUAGUGAGGUAUUUUAACCUGAAUACAUAGGGUUAAAAAGCGAACCCGGGGAAUUGAAACAUCUAAGUACCCGGAGGAAAGGACAUCAAUUGAGACUCCGUUAGUAGUGGCGAGCGAACGCGGACCAGGCCUGGUCUGAAAUAAGGAGAAGUAUCUGGGAAGGUACGCCAUAGUGGGUGAUAGCCCCGUAUCCGUAACAUGAAGACCUUUUAGAGUAGGGCGGGACACGUGAAAUCCUGUCUGAACAUGGGGGGACCACCCUCCAAGCCUAAGUACUCCUUACCGACCGAUAGUGAACAAGUACCGUGAGGGAAUGAUGAAAAGAACCCCGAUGAGGGGAGUGAAACAGAUCCUGAAACCGGAUGCCUACAAGCUGAUGGAGCUCUUCGGAGUGACAUCGUACCUUUUGUAUAAUGGGUCAGCGACUUAGUGUUGCGUGCAAGCUUAAGCCGUUAGGUGUAGGCACAGCGAAAGCGAGUCUGAAUAGGGCGACUGAGUACGUAGCAUUAGACCCGAAGGCAGAUGAUCUAGAUAUGGGCAGGCUGAAGGUGCGGUAACACGCACUGGAGGGCCGAACCGUUGAACGUUGAAAAGUUCUCGGAUGACCUGUGUCUAGGGGUGAAAGGCCAAUCAAAUCUGCUGAUAGCUGGUUCUCCGCGAAAUCUAUUUAGGUAGAGCGUCACGAUUAGACUCUGGGGGGUAGAGCACUGAAUGGGCUAGGGGUCCUCACCGGAUUACCAAACCUUCUCAAACUCCGAAUACCCAGAAGUUAUGCGUGGCAGACACACGGCGGGUGCUAACGUCCGUCGUGAAAAGGGAAACAACCCAGACCGCCAAUUAAGGCCCCCAAGUAAUAGCUAAGUGCGAAACGAUGUGGAGGUGCUGAGACAAUCAGGAGGUUGGCUUAGAAGCAGCCAUCCUUUAAAGAAAGCGUAACAGCUCACUGAUCAAGCGCCUCUGCGCGGAAAAUGUAUCGGGACUAAAGUUAUUCGCCGAAAUUGCGGACUCGAAAGAGUGGUAGCGGAGCGUUCCGUAAGCCUGUGAAGGUGAACCGUGAGGUUUGCUGGAGGUAUCGGAAGUGAGAAUGCUGACAUGAGUAGCGACAAACAGGGUGAGAGACCCUGUCGCCGAAAGACCAAGGGUUCCUGCGUAAAGCUAAUCUGCGCAGGGUUAGCCGGCCCCUAAGGCAAGGCCGAAAGGCGUAGUCGAUGGGAACCACGUUAAUAUUCGUGGGCCAAGGGAUGAGUGACGGAUUUCGAAAGUUGUAUUCCCUUAUUGGAUUGGGAAUGCAGCCUGGAAGUUCCUGGAAAUAGCCUCCCAUUAAGACCGUACCCGAAACCGACACAGGUGGUCAGGUAGAGCAUACCAAGGCGCUUGAGAGAACUAUGUUGAAGGAACUCGGCAAAUUACCUCCGUAACUUCGGGAGAAGGAGGCCUCACAUUGGGCAACCAGUGCUGAGGGGCACAAAACUGGGGGUUGCGACUGUUUAUCAAAAACACAGGGCUCUGCGAAGCCGUAAGGCGACGUAUAGGGUCUGACGCCUGCCCGGUGCCGGAAGGUUAAAAGGAGAGGUGCAAGCCUUGAAUUGAAGCCCCGGUGAACGGCGGCCGUAACUAUAACGGUCCUAAGGUAGCGAAAUUCCUUGUCGGGUAAGUUCCGACCUGCACGAAUGGCGUAACGACUUCCCCACUGUCUCCA
rnacentral:rRNA from 1 species